AGUGAACGCUGGCGGUAGGCCUAACACAUGCAAGUCGAACGGCAGCACAGUAAGAGCUUGCUCUUACGGGUGGCGAGUGGCGGACGGGUGAGGAAUACAUCGGAAUCUACUUUUUCGUGGGGGAUAACGUAGGGAAACUUACGCUAAUACCGCAUACGACCUACGGGUGAAAGCAGGGGAUCUUCGGACCUUGCGCGAUUGAAUGAGCCGAUGUCGGAUUAGCUAGUUGGCGGGGUAAAGGCCCACCAAGGCGACGAUCCGUAGCUGGUCUGAGAGGAUGAUCAGCCACACUGGAACUGAGAAACGGUCCAGACUCCUACGGGAGGACGCAGUGGGGAAUAUUGGACAAUGGGGGCAAGCCUGAUCCAGCCAUACCGCGUGGGUGAAGAAGGCCUUCGGGUUGUAAAGCCCUUUUGUUGGGAAAGAAAAGCAGCAGGUUAAUACCCCGCUGUUCUGACGGUACCCAAAGAAUAAGCACCGGCUAACUUCGUG
rnacentral:rRNA from 1 species